rnacentral:rRNA from 1 species
AGAGUUUGAUCAUGGCUCAGGAUGAACGCUAGCGGCAGGCCUAAUACAUGCAAGACGAACGGUAAGUGGUGUAGCAAUAUAUCACCUAGAGUGUCGCAAGGGUGCGUAACACGUAUGCAAUCUGCCCUCAACAGGAGGAUAGCUCCCCGAAAGGGGAAUUAACACUCCAUAACACCACGAAAGGGCAUCCGAUUGUGGUUAAAACUCCGGUGGUUGAGGAUGAGCAUGCGGAUGAUUAGCUAGUUGGCGGUGUAACGGACCACCAAGGCGAUGAUCAAUAGGGGAACUGAGAGGUUUAUCCCCCACACUGGCACUGAGAUACGGGCCAGACUCCUACGGGAGGCAGCAGUAGGGAAUAUUGGACAAUGGGCGCAAGCCUGAUCCAGCCAUGCCGCGUGCAGGAAGAAGGCCUUCUGGGUCGUAAACUGCUUUUCUCUGGGGAUAAAAAGACCGUGCGCGGUAAAUUGAAGGUACCAGAGGAAUAAGCCACGGCUAACUACGUGCCAGCAGCCGCGGUAAUACGUAGGUGGCAAGCGUUGUCCGGAUUUAUUGGGUUUAAAGGGUGCGUAGGCGGUUCCAUAAGUCAGUGGUGAAAUACGGCAGCUCAACUGUCGAGGUGCCAUUGAUACUGCGGAACUUGAGUACUGAUGAGGUAGGCGGAAUUGACGGCGUAGCGGUGAAAUGCUUAGAUAUCGUCAAGAACACCGAUAGCGAAGGCAGCUUACCAAGCAGUAACUGACGCUGAGGCACGAAAGUGCGGGGAUCAAACAGGAUUAGAUACCCUCGUAGUCC